AGCAGCCGCGGUAAUUCCAGCUCCAAUAGCGUAUAUUAAAGUUGUUGCAGUUAAAAAGCUCGUAGUUGAAUUUCGGGAUCAAUAUUUCGGUCAUGCCGUUGGUAUGCACUGUUAUCAUUGAUUUCUCACCUUCUAAAGAACCGUAAUGCCAUUAAUUUGGUGUUACGGGGAAUUAGGACUGUUACCUUGAAAAAAUUAGAGUGUUUAAAGCAGGCUCACGCUUGAAUACAUUAGCAUGGAAUAAUGAAAUAGGACGUUUGACCCUAUUUUGUUGGUUUCUAGGAUCGACGUAAUGAUUAAUAGGGAUAGUUGGGGGCAUUAGUAUUCAAUUGUCAGAGGUGAAAUUCUUGGAUUUAUUGAAGACUAACUACUGCGAAAGCAUUUGCCAAGGAUGUUUUCAUUAAUCAAGAACGAAAGUUAGGGGAUCGAAGACGAUCAGAUACCGUCGUAGUCUUAACCAUAAACUAUGCCGACUAGGGAUCGGAUGAUGUUAAUUUUUAAUGUACUCAUUCGGCGCCUU
rnacentral:rRNA from 1 species